AGAGUUUGAUCCUGGCUCAGAUUGAACGCUGGCGGCAUGCUUUACACAUGCAAGUCGGACGGCAGCACAGAGAAGCUUGCCUCUUGGGUAGCGAGUGGCGAACGGGUGAGUAACAUAUCGGAACGUACCGAGUAAUGGGGGAUAACUAAUCGAAAGAUUAGCUAAUACCGCAUAUUCUCUGAGGAGGAAAGCAGGGGACCUUCGGGCCUUGCGUUAUUCGAGCGGCCGAUAUCUGAUUAGCUAGUUGGUGGGGUAAAGGCCUACCAAGGCGACGAUCAGUAGCGGGUCUGAGAGGAUGAUCCGCCACACUGGGACUGAGACACGGCCCAGACUCCUACGGGAGGCAGCAGUGGGGAAUUUUGGACAAUGGGCGCAAGCCUGAUCCAGCCAUGCCGCGUGUCUGAAGAAGGCCUUCGGGUUGUAAAGGACUUUUGUCAGGGAAGAAAAGGCUGUUGCUAAUACCGACAGCUGAUGACGGUACCUGAAGAAUAAGCACCGGCUAACUACGUGCCAGCAGCCGCGGUAAUACGUAGGGUGCGAGCGUUAAUCGGAAUUACUGGGCGUAAAGCGAGCGCAGACGGUUACUUAAGCAGGAUGUGAAAUCCCCGGGCUCAACCUGGGAACUGCGUUCUGAACUGGGUGACUAGAGUGUGUCAGAGGGAGGUAGAAUUCCACGUGUAGCAGUGAAAUGCGUAGAGAUGUGGAGGAAUACCGAUGGCGAAGGCAGCCUCCUGGGAUAACACUGACGUUCAUGCUCGAAAGCGUGGGUAGCAAACAGGAUUAGAUACCCUGGUAGUCCAA
rnacentral:rRNA from 1 species